rnacentral:rRNA from 1 species
AGGACGAACGCUGGCGGCGUGCUUAACACAUGCAAGUCGAGCGGUAAGGCCCUUUCGGGGGUACACGAGCGGCGAACGGGUGAGUAACACGUGGGUGACCUGCCCUUAGCUCUGGGAUAAGCCUGGGAAACUGGGUCUAAUACCGGAUAUGACUCCACGGUGCAUGUCGUGGGGUGGAAAGCCUUGUGCGGCUGAGGAUGGGCCCGCGGCCUAUCAGCUUGUUGGUGGGGUGAUUGCCUACCAAGGCGACGACGGGUAGCCGGCCUGAGAGGGCGACCGGCCACACUGGGACUGAGACACGGCCCAGACUCCUACGGGAGGCAGCAGUGGGGAAUAUUGGACAAUGGGCGCAAGCCUGAUCCAGCCAUGCCGCGUGAGUGAUGAAGGCCCUAGGGUUGUAAAGCUCUUUUGUGCGGGAAGAUAAUGACGGUACCGCAAGAAUAAGCCCCGGCUAACUUCGCGCCAGCAGCCGC